rnacentral:lncRNA from 1 species
AUGACGAUGAUGAUUUUAUUUUAUUUUUAUUCUUGAAAAAAAAAUCAAAUUUAAAGUUAGGUUUUUGGUGUCUUUUAUAUAUUUAUUUUGGGGCCAAUUAAAUUUUAAUGUUUGAAUCCGGCCCAACCAUUUAUGUACUACAUGUGUUUAUCUUUUUUUCUUUCUUUGAUUAAGUUUAUUUGUUUGAAUUAGUAAUUAUUUAAUUAGGUAAAUUUUUGUCUAAUUAGUUAUUUUUUAAUUUAC